rnacentral:rRNA from 1 species
CCUACGGGAGGCAGCAGUGAGGAAUAUUGGUCAAUGGGCGUAAGCCUGAACCAGCCAAGUCGCGUGAGGGAUGAAGGUUCUAUGUAUCGUAAACCUCUUUUGUAAGGGAAUAAAGUGUGGGACGUGUCCUCUUUUGUAUGUACCUUAUGAAUAAGGAUCGGCUAACUCCGUGCCAGCAGCCGCGGUAAUACGGAGGAUCCGAGCGUUAUCCGGAUUUAUUGGGUUUAAAGGGUGCGUAGGCGGGCUGUUAAGUCAGCGGUGAAAGUCCGGGGCUCAACCCCAGAGCUGCCGUUGAAACUGGCAGGCUGGAGUAGGUGUGAGGCAGGCGGAAUGCGUGGUGUAGCGGUGAAAUGCUUAGAUAUCACGCAGAACCCCGAUUGCGAAGGCAGCAUGCCAGGCCAUGACUGACGCUGAGGCACGAAAGCGUGGGGAUCAAACAGGAUUAGAUACCCUUGUAGUC